rnacentral:rRNA from 1 species
GGGUCAGUAGGUUGGUCGUGCCACCGGUACGUACUGGUCUCACUGAUUCCUCCUUCCUGAAGAACCGUAAUGCCAUUAAUUUGGUGUUGCGGGGAAACAGGACUGUUACUUUGGAAAAAUUAGAGUGUUUAAAGCAAGCUAACGCUCGAAUACAUUAGCAUGGAAUAAUGAAAUAGGACGAUCGAUCCUAUUUUGUUAGUUUCUAGGAUUGACGUA